AAUGGGGGCAACCCUGAUCCAGCCAUGCCGCGUGAGUGAAGAAGGCCUUAGGGUUGUAAAGCUCUUUCAAGUGUGAAGAUAAUGACGGUAACACUACAAGAAGCUCCGGCUAAAUUCGUGCCAGCAGCCGCGGUAAUACGAAUGGAGCAAGCGUUGUUCGGAAUCACUGGGCUUAAAGCGUAUGUAGGCGGAAUCGAAAGUCAGGAGUGAAAUCCCAGGGCUCAACCCUGGAACUGCUCUUGAAACUCCGGUUCUAGAAUCCUGGAGAGGUUGGGAGAAUUCCUAGUGUAGAGGUGAAAUUCGCAGAUAUUAGGAGGAAUACCAGUGGCGUAGGCGCCCAACUGGACAGGUAUUGACGCUCAGAUACGAAAGCGUGGGGAGCAAACAGGAUU
rnacentral:rRNA from 1 species